GUGUUUCCCUCUGGGAUGUGGUGAAGAGGACAAGGACAGGGAUCAUGGGUCUUUCCUGAGCUGCAGGUUCCUUGUACCAGUAUCUCUGCUCAGACUCCUGAGAUCGAGUGUGACACCCCGCCCUCUUCUCUUCUGUUACAGGUGCUUAAUGGAAUCAACACAAUUAUUACUAAGGAUUUAUCUGCUAUUACAGAAUUCUUCUCUGAGAUGUGGGCCAGAACACCACAGAACAACCAAUAAGUCCAAGGCCUUAUGUUGGCAGCACCAGUUAACCGGGGAAUUUGAGCAAGCUGGUUUACAGAUUUCACUCUCUUUUGUAAUCAUGAGCACUUGGGUUAGUGGAGCUGAAUCAAAGCACAGGAAGCCUUCAUCUGAGGGAAACACUUCACAGCAC
rnacentral:lncRNA from 1 species